rnacentral:rRNA from 1 species
GACGAACGCUGGCGGCGUGCUUAACACAUGCAAGUCGAACGGUGAAGCGCCUUCCUUUUUGGUGGGUGUGGAUGAGUGGCGAACGGGUGAGUAACACGUGAGUAACCUGCCCCCUUCUUCUGGAUAACCGCAUGAAAGUGUGGCUAAUACGGGAUAUUCUGGGUCUGUCGCAUGAUGGGUCUGGGAAAGAUAUUGUUUCGGUGGGGGAUGGGCUCGCGGCCUAUCAGCUUGUUGGUGGGGUGAUGGCCUACCAAGGCGGUGACGGGUAGCCGGCCUGAGAGGAUGGACGGUCACACUGGGACUGAGACACGGCCCAGACUCCUACGAGAGGCAGCAGUGGGGAAUAUUGCACAAUGGGCGCAAGCCUGAUGCAGCGACGCCGCGUGAGGGAUGGAGGCCUUCGGGUUGUGAACCUCUUUCGCCAGUGAAGCAGGCCUGCCUCGUUUGUGGGUGGGUUGACGGUAGCUGGAUAAGAAGCGCCGGCUAACUACGUG